GACGAACGCUGGCGGCGUGCUUAACACAUGCAAGUCGAACGGUAAGGCCCUUCGGGGUACACGAGUGGCGAACGGGUGAGUAACACGUGGGUGAUCUGCCCUGCACUUCGGGAUAAGCCUGGGAAACUGGGUCUAAUACCGGAUAGGACCACUGCCUUCAUGGGUGGUGGUGUGAACCUUUUGCGGUGUGGGAUGGGCCCGGGGCCUAUCAGCUUGUCGGGGGGGUGAUGGCCUACCAAGGCGACGACGGGUAGCAGGCCUGAGAGGGUGACCGGCCACACUGGGACUGAGAUACGGCCCAGACUCCUACGGGAGGCAGCAGUGGGGAAUAUUGCACAAUGGGCGCAAGCCUGAUGCAGCGACGCCGCGUGAGGGAUGACGGCCUUCGGGUUGUAAACCUCUUCCAGCACCGACGAAGCGCAAGUGACGGUAGGUGCAGAAGAAGGACCGGCCAACUACGUGCCAGCAGCCGCGGUAA
rnacentral:rRNA from 1 species